CAGAGUUGAAAAACUCCCUAACCCUUUGUUUACAUACCUGUUCAGUUGCUAUCGGCAGGCGGCCCCAGGGCGGGGCCUCCAGCCUGCUCCACGCAGGUGCCUGCCGCUGGCGCAAAAAAACUCUUGUUAUAUAUUACCACUCUGAGUCUAAAAACAAAUGAAUCA
rnacentral:misc_RNA from 1 species